GUUUCUAAUUUUCAAAAGCUCGCAGAAACCUUACUCUCAAUUCUCUCUCUCAUUGUUCUUCGUCUCUACACAAUGAAGUUUUGGAGGCCAAAAUCUAUUUCAUUGCAUCCAAAUUUUGAAACCCGCUCCUCAUCCUAAACUUUCAUUACCCUGCCUUAUUUACAUUUGCAAGGAGAGAACCAGAGUAAAAAAGUGAGUUAGAGAUAGGACCUGAUCGGGGGCUAGGGUUUCGAGGUUAUUUUCUUAAGCCACGACAAGGUAAUAUUAGGGAUGCGUGUGAAGGCUGACACAUGGGCGGCUAUAAGGUUUGGACCACCCGGUAGGUUCAGUUCCCAAAUGGUGCAUUUGCAAGCAAGUUACCACGAAGCUGCUUCAUCGUAAAGUUCCCAAAUUAUGGCACAGGUCAAAUCCUAUUUCAAACCGUAAUUUCAGUAAUUUUUCUCAGUUAUUAUUCAAUCCAUAACGGCGUAAUUUUUUUUUUUCAAUUUAUUGAAAUGUAUGCACUCGGUACGAUUAAGGUGAUAUGUGUUCGGGUUUCAGUGUUGUGGAUAACUUAA
rnacentral:lncRNA from 1 species